GCUAUGGUGUGAUGUGUACAAUUGGUAUACAUAUAUAUAUAUAUAUAUAUAUGUGUGUGUGUGUGUGUGUACAUAUCGCGCGACGAAGGCCGGCGACGAUCGAGAGGAGAAGCGAGACACUCUUGCGGAUUGUAUGAAGUUUAAUCGAAGGGAGUUUAAACAAGACAGCUGAUUAAAUCUCUUCGUUGGAAAACGGAUCAGUCGACGACGCUCCAAGUCAGUUCGUCGGAGAAGAGAAAAACACGCCGAUACAUCUUUGUAUGCGACGUCGUGAUUAUAAUCAAAAUCACUUGAUAAAUAUUGAUGUUGACUUAUACAGAUCUACGUUUAGAAAAUUGAAAGAAAUGUUGUAUAAAAAGAUUCAUAUAUUAAAUAGAUAACAAUGUUUCGUCAAAAGAAUUAACUCAUAUGAAUAAAAUAUCAAUUAACACAAUG